rnacentral:rRNA from 1 species
UCCGAAGGGAGCUAUCGUUGUUCGGAAUCACUGGGCGUAAAGCGCACGUAGGCGGAUGUGUCAGUCGGGGGUGAAAUCCCGAGGCUCAACCUCGGAACUGCCUCCGAUACAGCAAAUCUCGAGUCCGGGAGAGGUGGGUGGAAUUCCUAGUGUAGAGGUGAAAUUCGUAGAUAUUAGGAAGAACACCAGUGGCGAAGGCGGCCCACUGGCCCGGUACUGACGCUGAGGUGCGAAAGCGUGGGGAGCAAACAGG